rnacentral:rRNA from 1 species
GUUAAGCGACUAAGCGUACACGGUGGAUGCCCUGGCAGUCAGAGGCGAUGAAGGACGUGCUAAUCUGCGAUAAGCGUCGGUAAGGUGAUAUGAACCGUUAUAACCGGCGAUUUCCGAAUGGGGAAACCCAGUGUGAUUCGUCACACUAUCAUUAACUGAAUCCAUAGGUUAAUGAGGCGAACCGGGGGAACUGAAACAUCUAAGUACCCCGAGGAAAAGAAAUCAACCGAGAUUCCCCCAGUAGCGGCGAGCGAACGGGGAGCAGCCCAGAGCCUGAAUCAGUGUGUGUGUUAGUGGAAGCGUCUGGAAAGGCGCGCGAUACAGGGUGACAGCCCCGUACACAAAAAUGCACAUGCUGUGAGCUCGAUGAGUAGGGCGGGACACGUGGUAUCCUGUCUGAAUAUGGGGGGACCAUCCUCCAAGGCUAAAUACUCCUGACUGACCGAUAGUGAACCAGUACCGUGAGGGAAAGGCGAAAAGAACCCCGGCGAGGGGAGUGAAAAAGAACCUGAAACCGUGUACGUACAAGCAGUGGGAGCCUCUUAAUGGGGUGACUGCGUACCUUUUGUAUAAUGGGUCAGCGACUUAUAUUCUGUAGCAAGGUUAACCGAAUAGGGGAGCCGAAGGGAAACCGAGUCUUAACUGGGCGUUAAGUUGCAGGGUAUAGACCCGAAACCCGGUGAUCUAGCCAUGGGCAGGUUGAAGGUUGGGUAACACUAACUGGAGGACCGAACCGACUAAUGUUGAAAAAUUAGCGGAUGACUUGUGGCUGGGGGUGAAAGGCCAAUCAAACCGGGAGAUAGCUGGUUCUCCCCGAAAGCUAUUUAGGUAGCGCCUCGUGAAUUCAUCUCCGGGGGUAGAGCACUGUUUCGGCAAGGGGGUCAUCCCGACUUACCAACCCGAUGCAAACUGCGAAUACCGGAGAAUGUUAUCACGGGAGACACACGGCGGGUGCUAACGUCCGUCGUGAAGAGGGAAACAACCCAGACCGCCAGCUAAGGUCCCAAAGUCAUGGUUAAGUGGGAAACGAUGUGGGAAGGCCCAGACAGCCAGGAUGUUGGCUUAGAAGCAGCCAUCAUUUAAAGAAAGCGUAAUAGCUCACUGGUCGAGUCGGCCUGCGCGGAAGAUGUAACGGGGCUAAACCAUGCACCGAAGCUGCGGCAGCGACACUAUGUGUUGUUGGGUAGGGGAGCGUUCUGUAAGCCUGUGAAGGUGUACUGUGAGGUAUGCUGGAGGUAUCAGAAGUGCGAAUGCUGACAUAAGUAACGAUAAAGCGGGUGAAAAGCCCGCUCGCCGGAAGACCAAGGGUUCCUGUCCAACGUUAAUCGGGGCAGGGUGAGUCGACCCCUAAGGCGAGGCCGAAAGGCGUAGUCGAUGGGAAACAGGUUAAUAUUCCUGUACUUGGUGUUACUGCGAAGGGGGGACGGAGAAGGCUAUGUUGGCCGGGCGACGGUUGUCCCGGUUUAAGCGUGUAGGCUGGUUUUCCAGGCAAAUCCGGAAAAUCAAGGCUGAGGCGUGAUGACGAGGCACUACGGUGCUGAAGCAACAAAUGCCCUGCUUCCAGGAAAAGCCUCUAAGCAUCAGGUAACAUCAAAUCGUACCCCAAACCGACACAGGUGGUCAGGUAGAGAAUACCAAGGCGCUUGAGAGAACUCGGGUGAAGGAACUAGGCAAAAUGGUGCCGUAACUUCGGGAGAAGGCACGCUGAUAUGUAGGUGAAGUCCCUCGCGGAUGGAGCUGAAAUCAGUCGAAGAUACCAGCUGGCUGCAACUGUUUAUUAAAAACACAGCACUGUGCAAACACGAAAGUGGACGUAUACGGUGUGACGCCUGCCCGGUGCCGGAAGGUUAAUUGAUGGGGUUAGCGGUAACGCGAAGCUCUUGAUCGAAGCCCCGGUAAACGGCGGCCGUAACUAUAACGGUCCUAAGGUAGCGAAAUUCCUUGUCGGGUAAGUUCCGACCUGCACGAAUGGCGUAAUGAUGGCCAGGCUGUCUCCACCCGAGACUCAGUGAAAUUGAACUCGCUGUGAAGAUGCAGUGUACCCGCGGCAAGACGGAAAGACCCCGUGAACCUUUACUAUAGCUUGACACUGAACAUUGAGCCUUGAUGUGUAGGAUAGGUGGGAGGCUUUGAAGUGUGGACGCCAGUCUGCAUGGAGCCGGCCUUGAAAUACCACCCUUUAAUGUUUGAUGUUCUAACGUUGGCCCCUGAUCGGGGUUGCGGACAGUGUCUGGUGGGUAGUUUGACUGGGGCGGUCUCCUCCUAAAGAGUAACGGAGGAGCACGAAGGUUGGCUAAUCCUGGUCGGACAUCAGGAGGUUAGUGCAAUGGCAUAAGCCAGCUUGACUGCGAGCGUGACGGCGCGAGCAGGUGCGAAAGCAGGUCAUAGUGAUCCGGUGGUUCUGAAUGGAAGGGCCAUCGCUCAACGGAUAAAAGGUACUCCGGGGAUAACAGGCUGAUACCGCCCAAGAGUUCAUAUCGACGGCGGUGUUUGGCACCUCGAUGUCGGCUCAUCACAUCCUGGGGCUGAAGUAGGUCCCAAGGGUAUGGCUGUUCGCCAUUUAAAGUGGUACGCGAGCUGGGUUUAGAACGUCGUGAGACAGUUCGGUCCCUAUCUGCCGUGGGCGCUGGAGAACUGAGGGGGGCUGCUCCUAGUACGAGAGGACCGGAGUGGACGCAUCACUGGUGUUCGGGUUGUCAUGCCAAUGGCACUGCCCGGUAGCUAAAUGCGGAAGAGAUAAGUGCUGAAAGCAUCUAAGCACGAAACUUGCCCCGAGAUGAGUUCUCCCUGACUCCUUGAGAGUCCUGAAGGAACGUUGAAGACGACGACGUUGAUAGGCCGGGUGUGUAAGCGCAGCGAUGCGUUGAGCUAACCGGUACUAAUGAACCGUGAGGCUUAACC